CCAACCUGCUCAACAUUGCCGCUUCUGUUACAGAGUAAUACCUAACACCUCUCUCACCGGCAACAGAGUUUGUAUUUUUGUUUUUUCUAUAAUCAUAGUGUCAGGAUUAAUUUUUCGACCGGUGGACUAAAUCCACGGGAUACGUGUCAUUUCCAACCAGCAAUAAAAUUUAUGUUUUUUAAUAACUGCCAGUGUUCGUAGCAGCUUUCCCGCAAUUGGACUAAAUCCACAGAUUAGGUGCCACCUAUCGCCAUCAGCAGUUUGUAUAUUUUUAAUAGCGAAAAUGCAGCUCUUAAUGGAAACUGGAGUCGUCUUAGAUGCUUGUAAAUGGUGGAAUCAAGGUCAAGCUAGAGGCACUCAUAGGAAUUCAAAUAAAGGAAUGAUAUGGUUUCUGAAUAGUUGAG